rnacentral:rRNA from 1 species
GGGAUACUACCCUAAUUGUAUUGGAUUUCUAACCCGCAGCACUUAUCGUGCUGGGAGACAGUGUCAGGCGGGCAGUUUGACUGGGGCGGUCGCCUCCUAAAGAGUAACGGAGGCGCUCAAAGGUUCCCUCAGAAUGGUUGGAAAUCAUUCAUAGAGUGUAAAGGCAUAAGGGAGCUUGACUGCGAGACCUACAAGUCGAGCAGGGUCGAAAGACGGACUUAGUGAUCCGGUGGUUCCGCAUGGAAGGGCCAUCGCUCAACGGAUAAAAGCUACCCCGGGGAUAACAGGCUUAUCUCCCCCAAGAGUUCACAUCGACGGGGAGGUUUGGCACCUCGAUGUCGGCUCAUCGCAUCCUGGGGCUGUAGUCGGUCCCAAGGGUUGGGCUGUUCGCCCAUUAAAGCGGUACGCGAGCUGGGUUCAGAACGUCGUGAGACAGUUCGGUCCCUAUCCGUCGUGGGCGUAGGAAAUUUGAGAGGAGCUGUCCUUAGUACGAGAGGACCGGGAUGGACAUACCUCUGGUGUACCAGUUGUCGUGCCAACGGCAUAGCUGGGUAGCUAUGUAUGGACGGGAUAAGUGCUGAAAGCAUCUAAGCAUGAAGCCCCCCUCGAGAUGAGAUUUCCCAACUUC